AGCUCGGGGCUGGGCUGAAGAGCUGGGCGGGCGGCGGUCCUCCCGGCAGAGACGCGGAGGCGACGGGCGACUGGCCCAGGCGGGGAAGGCUCUGUCUUAAACCCCACGUCCUUGGGAAGAGGGGGUCCGGCCCCGGCCCCCGCGCGUGGACUUGGCGAGGCUUUCCCUGCAGGCGAGGGCGCGGCGGUCGCUUGAAGCCCAAAGCCCCUUCUCCUUCGCGGCCGCGGCCCCCAGCCCCGUCCCGUGCCGGCCGGGGUCGCGCCAGCCUAGGGUCUAGGCACGUCCGGAGGAGAGGCGGAGUAGAGAGCACCGAAGAGGCUGAAGCCCGGAGAAAGCGGACGGACGCCGACAGGCCCCGGGUUCCCAGCCCGACCGACUGGGGAGGAGGCCCGGGGUCCAACCGAAGCGCCCUGGAGGCUCUGCAGGGACUCCUCGCGGACACUCCCUUCUCCUAAAAGAAUGGCGGCAGGCUCGGGCGCGGCCACCGCCUCCUCGGGCAGCGCGAGCGCAGGCACCCACCUGCCCAGCUGGACUACAUUUCCCAGCCUCCCUUGCAGUUGACUAAGUUCUUAACAGUGGAAUGCAAGCAGAAGUGAUGGAGAAUUACUAAGGGAAGAUCAACAGACAACUGGGAUGACUAUGAGUGCAGAAGACUGACAAGACUUCCUCUGUUGCUCCUAGUGACCAGUGGGGGUAUUUCUAUAGCUCCCAGAACAUGUUCUCCCUGCAACCCCCACCUGCUUUUUUAUUAAAUGCCCUGAAUUGCCCUUUUGGAUCAAAACUUUAUCAUGUCAGUCAAAGUAGGCUUGCUGCAGCCCACCUCAUGGCUAAAGAUAUCAGAUGUGUAAAAGAUGAUAGGUGAGACACAUUUUCAUGAAUAGUAGCUCUUUGUGCAUUGAUGUUCUGCUAGCGUGCAGAAAAUGCAUUUUACUGGGUUCCUGGAAAUGCGUAAUGGAUGUCGGCACAUAGAGCAUGGAUUCUGCCAUGGGUCACACUUGGGUUUAAAUUCUCUCUCUGGAAAAAUCAGAGAGGGUGACGAAACAUGAGAGAGUCCUAACUCUGGGAAAUGAACAAGGGGUAGUGGAAA